GACGAACGCUGGCGGCGUGCCUAAUACAUGCAAGUAGAACGCUGAAGGAGGAGCUUGCUCUUCUGGAUGAGUUGCGAACGGGUGAGUAACGCGUAGGUAACCUGCCUGGUAGCGGGGGAUAACUAUUGGAAACGAUAGCUAAUACCGCAUAAGAGUAGAUGUUGCAUGACAUUUGCUUAAAAGGUGCAAUUGCAUCACUACCAGAUGGCCCUGCGUUGUAUUAGCUAGUUGGUGGGGUAGCGGCUAACCAAGGCGACGAUGCAUAGCCGACCAGAGAGGGUGAGAGGCCACACUGGGACUGGGACACGGCCCAGACCCCUACGGGAGGCAGCCGUAGGGAAUCCUCGGGAAUGGACGGAAGUCUGACCGAGAGACGCCGCGUGAGUGAAGAAGGUUUUCGGAUCGUAAAGCUCUGUUGUAAGAGAAGAACGAGUGUGAGAGUGGAAAGUUCACACUGUGACGGUAUCUGACCAGAAAGGGACGGCUAACUACGUG
rnacentral:rRNA from 1 species